AAAGAGAAAUGACAAUAAUUUUCUAAAAAAAUUGUAUUUUAUUCAAAAUCCACACCGGCCCUUGAAACUUAACCACCCUUUAUUUUUAUAAUGACUCAAUUUUUGAACCAGAUCAUCUAAAAGAAACUAUUUCUAUGAGCGUUUGCUCCUUAUUGUAAAUAGAUGGUAUACGCGAGAAAAAAGUUUGAGAACCUGUGGUAUGGAGAUCACAUAAAAUUAAAAACAAAGUCAAGUCGGCUGCCCUACUGGCGCUACCUUAUUGAUGGAUCUCAAUUCAAGGCAUCAAAACGGAAGAAAAAACAAAUCUGCUGUCCUAGUAACAUCGCCUUGUAUGAAUUCGCCUUGAAGAGAUCCCUAGGAAUGGGAAUAUUUGAGCAAAUAAAUUAAAAAUACUCUCAUUGGAAAGUAUUGCCAUUUGCAACUAAUUUAGGUUAUACCUGGAAUAGUUUACCUUGAAUAACGUUUGCCGGCAGUGGAGCAAAAUUGUUUAAAAACAACAAUAACUCAAUGUGUUGCUAAAUGUGGGAGAACAAAAACAUUAGAACCGUAAAUAUGGAUCGCAAGAGCAACGGCAAAUGCAGUUCAAUGACAUUAACUCACUUUAAGUGCAGAGGAAUCUAGCUGGACUUGACGACAAAACAAAAAGUUCUUUAAACUAGUAAAUUAUUUGAAAUUGGCGACACGAGUUUGCAACCGUGAUUUGGUACAAGUGAUGAAAUUUCUUACUAAAAUUAAACAAGACAAAAAUGUUUUUAUUAAGAAAUUUGAAAUUAUUAAAAUUAUUUAAAUAUAGUCAACAAUAAAAAUUGUGUUUUACUUCGAAGCUAAUGGUGUGGGUAGAGACGAAAAGAAAUUAACGAUGAAAAGCUUUUUUCCACAGUUGAAUAUAUAUAUUUUUUUUAAAUAUAUGUUUUUCAAUUUAUUGUUUUGUUUUAAUGUUUUAAAACUAUACAACAAAAAAUGGGAAAUAAGCUAAAAAUCUAUAUUAAAAAAUUAUUUUCAAUAUUCAUUAUUGAAUUCCCAGAAAUCCUGUCAUCAAAAUUUAUUUUGUACUUAAUAUGCCCACUAUGCUAUAGUUAUAAAAAAUAUAAAAAAAUUGAAUUUCGUUCUAAUAUUAACUGAGUAUUUUGAAAUUAUGAAUUUUUCGUUGUUUUGUAGAUUUUGCUCUAAUUAUAGCAGAGAUUAACGGAAAAUAAAAAACAUUUUUGACAAAAUUGAUACGCUAGUUGGUAAUAAAAAGUGCUUUUAUUGAAAAUACACCGAAAAAAUAAUUUUGAAUAUUAUUACAGAAUAUAAAAAAUAAUAGUACAAAAAAUAUAACACAAACUAUAAAUGCAGCCCAUAGCCAAAAUGAUGCAAUCCCAAAAAUCAUGGUAAUAGAAACUUUUUUUAUAUAUAUUUUUUAUAAAUGGUGUACGAACACCCUUUAUGGUUGUUUGGCCGAGCUCGUCCUCCUAUUUGUGGCGUGCGUCUUGAUGUUGUUCCACAAAUAGAGGGACCUACAGUUUUACGCCGACUCCGAGCGGCAGAUAUUUUUUAUGAAGAGCUUUUUCAUGGCAGAAAUGCUCUCGGAGGUUUGCCAUUGACUGCCGAAAGGCGAUCGGUAUUAGAAAAAAACUUUUUCUUUAUUUUUGUCUUUCACCGAGA